rnacentral:rRNA from 1 species
AGAGUUUGAUCAUGGCUCAGGACGAACGCUGGCGGCGUGCUUAACACAUGCAAGUCGAGCGAGGCCCACACCUUCGGGUGUGGUGCCCUAGCGGCGAACGGGUGAGUAACACGUGGGCAACCUGCCCCUAGCACUGGGAUAAGCCCGGGAAACCGGGUCUAAUACCGGAUAUGACGUCGGAGGGCAUCCUCCGGCGUGGAAAGGAUUCUGGCUAGGGAUGGGCCCGCGGCCUAUCAGCUUGUUGGUGGGGUAAUGGCCCACCAAGGCGACGACGGGUAGCCGGCCUGAGAGGGCGACCGGCCACACUGGGACUGAGACACGGCCCAGACUCCUACGGGAGGCAGCAGUGGGGAAUAUUGCACAAUGGGCGAAAGCCUGAUGCAGCGACGCCGCGUGAGGGAUGACGGCCUUCGGGUUGUAAACCUCUUUCAGCUCCGACGAAGCGAAAGUGACGGUAGGGGCAGAAGAAGCACCGGCCAACUACGUGCCAGCAGCCGCGGUA